GUUGAAACAUCGGUGUUCGUACGAUCACUGAAGUUAAGCAAUGUCGAGCCUGGCUAGUACUUAGAUGAGUGACCGCUUCAGAUUGCAAGGUGUUGU